UUCUAUUUCCUUCAAAAGCUUUAGAUUUAUUAUUCACCCGACUUGAUGUAUAAAAAUCCAUAGAAUAUGAACACAUUUUGGCAGAACAUUCCAGCGAAAGUUGUGUCACAAGUCCCAUCUUUGCAGUUAUGUCUUCCUUCAUAACAAUGUGACCCGACUUACAUUUAGGGCAUAUAAAGGUGUUGAAAAUGGACAUCAAAAUCGAUAUAUCUAUAAUUCUAAACCCAUCAGUACAGUUUUCUUCAUCCACACUUGAUAAAUCACAGUCAAGUAUCCUUUUUGAGGCAGGCAAUGACCUAAAUUCUGAAGCGCUCGAUGAUGUCACUUCAUCUGAAGCAGUAGUCAAAUUUGACGUACUUGUUUCAGCAAUUUUCUCCUCUUUAGAAGCUUCAGAAUCAGGUAAUUCUUCGACUUUGACAUGACGGUUUCAGCGAAACUUUCGUUUCUUUUCUUUCAAUCGAAUAAAUUUCUUUUAUCAGGCAUUUCUAACGAAAAAUACAAUUCUAACAAAUUUGUUUUCUAGCUUUCUCUUUCAAUUUGAAUUUUGACUUGGUAACCAGGCAAUGUAAUUGUAUCUACUUACCAGUCCUCUUUGUAAAGAUGCGCACUUUUUACAAAACAACAAUAAAAACCAGUAUACAAAGCCGUUUCAUAGGGUUAUUUUGAAAAACAAAGAUGCGGUUUCCAUGGUUACGAGUGCAAAAUAUGAUGGUGCAUUUUAUAAAAACCCCCAAACAACUGAAAAUACCCUGAUAUUAUUUAAAAAACCAAUUGUAUAUGAAAGAUUAGUGCUU